GACGAACGCUGGCGGCGUGCCUAACACAUGCAAGUCGAGCGGGGAUAUACGGAAGGUUUACCGGAAGUAUAUCCUAGCGGCGGACGGGUGAGUAACGCGUGGGUAACCUACCUCAUACAGGGGGAUAACACAGGGAAACCUGUGCUAAUACCGCAUAACAUAACGGGGCGGCAUCGUCCUGUUAUCAAAGGAGAAAUCCGGUAUGAGAUGGGUCCGCGUCCGAUUAGCUGGUUGGUGAGGUAACGGCUCACCAAGGCGACGAUCGGUAGCCGAACUGAGAGGUUGGUCGGCCACACUGGGACUGAGACACGGCCCAGACUCCUACGGGAGGCAGCAGUGGGGAAUCUUGCGCAAUGGGCGAAAGCCUGACGCAGCGACGCCGCGUGAGCGAAGAAGGCUUUCGGGUCGUAAAGACUCGAUAGUGUGGGAAGGAAUAAGAUGACGGUACCGACACGAAAGACCCCGGCCGUAACUAACGUGC
rnacentral:rRNA from 1 species